AACGCGAAGAACCUUACCAAAUCUUGACAUCCUCUGACCCCUCUAGAGAUAGAGUUUUCCCCUUCGGGGGACAGAGUGACAGGUGGUGCAUGGUUGUCGUCAGCUCGUGUCGUGAGAUGUUGGGUUAAGUCCCGCAACGAGCGCAACCCUUAAGCUUAGUUGCCAUCAUUAAGUUGGGCACUCUAAGUUGACUGCCGGUGACAAACCGGAGGAAGGUGGGGAUGACGUCAAAUCAUCAUGCCCCUUAUGAUUUGGGCUACACACGUGCUACAAUGGACAAUACAAAGGGUAGCGAAACCGCGAGGUCAAGCAAAUCCCAUAAAGUUGUUCUCAGUUCGGAUUGUAGUCUGCAACUCGACUAUAUGAAGCUGGAAUCGCUAGUAAUCGUAGAUCAGCAUGCUACGGUGAAUACGUUCCCGGGCCUUGUACACACCGUAGUAC
rnacentral:rRNA from 1 species